AUCACAGUGUGUCGCCGAGCCUGCCCGCCUACCGGAAUGUUCCCACGGCGCCAGGCCGCCGGGUUCGACUGGAAACGGCCGGGCCUCCCUGGGGGAAAGGGACCCUGUGGUCAACCU
rnacentral:ncRNA from 2 species